rnacentral:rRNA from 1 species
UACGUAGGUGGCAAGCGUUGUCCGGAUUUACUGGGCGUAAAGGGCGCGUAGGCGGUCUACUAAGUUGGAUGUGAAAACUCUGGGCUUAACCCAGAGCCUGCAUUCAAAACUGAUAGGCUAGAGUUCUGGAGGGGAUAGCGGAAUUCCUGGUGUAGCGGUGAAAUGCGUAGAUAUCAGGAGGAACACCGGCGGUGUAGACGGCUGUCUGGACAGUAACUGACGCUGAAACACGAAAGCGUGGGGAGCAAACAGG